rnacentral:rRNA from 1 species
ACGGAAGGCAGCAGCUAAGAAUAUUCCGCAAUGGACGAAAGUCUGACGGAGCGACGCCGCGUGGAUGAUGAAGGCCGGAAGGUUGUAAAAUCCUUUUAAGUGUGAAGAAUAAGUAGAAGAAGAGAAUGCUUCUGUGGUGACGGUAGCACUUGAAUAAGCAACGGCUAAUUACGUGCCAGCAGCCGCGGUAACACGUAAGUUGCGAGCGUUGUUCGGAAUUAUUGGGCGUAAAGGGCAUGUAGGCGGUUUUGCAAGCUUGGUGUGAAAGGCAGGAGCUUAACUCCUGGACUGCGUUGAGAACUGCAAAACUAGAGUCACUGAGGGGCAAUCAGAAUUCCAGGUGUAGGGGUGAAAUCUGUAGAUAUCUGGAAGAAUACCAAUGGCGAAGGCAGGUUACCAGCAGAUGACUGACGCCGAGGUGCGAAGGUGCGGGGAGCAAACAGGAUUAGAUACCCUGGUA